ACCCACAUGGUGUAAUGGUGCAUACUUUGGUGGGGUUGGCUGCCAUCCGACAAGCCGAAGAGGGGUCGGUUCGAUUCCGACUGUUGGCA
rnacentral:tRNA from 1 species